GUAGAAACCAUUAAUGUACCAACAAAAAAAAAGGUAGAAACCAUUCCCUGUACCUUCGAAGACUCCGCAAUGGAUUUCCACUAAGCAGAAGUUUCCUCAAGGUAGUCAUCUUGCCUACACAAGAUACAACACUAAGAGAAUUUAAGAUGCACUAUCACUCCCUAACUACAUGCAAGGUAUAAAACAUAUAAUAACAGGACAGAGAGCUCGACCCUUCCAGGUAAUGGUGUCCAUCUACUACAUGAAAUAGCCAUAAACAUUGACCGAUGAGUCUUUGACACAUUGACAUUUAUAUUUGACACCUAAAGAGACCAUAAAAUUUGAUCAGGGUGCAGAAUGAACAACUCCCUUGGUAACUCUGAAUCCCAGGGAAUGUUGCACUGCUUUUACAAUAUUAUUACUUAGCGGUAUCUUUGUAAUUCUGUGAGAUGCUGAAAUUUAAUAUAAAGAGGAGGUGACCACUAAUUGAGGAUACUCCUUUAGCUGCGAACAUACAAAAUCAAUACACAAUGGAACGGAUUAUCUACUGUUAAGGGAGAAGAGAACAAAAGCAUCCGAAGCAAAAAUGGUAUAUUGUUUAUUACCUCCCACCAUUUAUCAUCAGUGCCACCGAUUCCUUCGAGAUUUCGAUAAACUUCAUCGGGAAUUUCACUGAAAGUGAAAGAAUAUGAAGAAAGCAAUGUGUGAAUGAGUGAAGAG